UUUGAAACGUAUCGUCUCAAUGAUAAGAUACACUUAUACGCUGCGGUCUCGGAACGGUUUGCGAUAUUUUCGAUGGACGGUUUAUUUAUUCGUAUGGCAAAAGUUAUAUUUAUUCGAUGGAUGGUGAUCCGGCAAAAGUCGCUUGUGCGCGGCACAACGCACUGGUGUACGGGGUAGAACGUCGUUUACGGUUCGAGGUAGGCGACUAUUUGCCGACGUGCACACACUGCUGUGGAGAGGGCAGACUUAGUCGUCACGUCGCCGCCGGUAGAUCUACACGAAGGAAAGAUACUGGAGUAGUUGAUCAGAUGGGCGAGAAAAGCGGCACCGAAUGUUCUAUUGAAGUUGCCGAAAACACACAAAGACAAGUCUGAGCUGUACCGAUUGGAAAGUAGGCACUUCAAUCGCGUCAAAAUGGUGAAUGUCAUCAUCGAUCGCGGGAUUCGAUCUGCAUUAAUGUUUGUCGUACAUGACGAAUACGAAUAUUUAUUACAACGUUUACCGUAAUAGGAAAAACGUGGUAGAGAAGAUGAAUACCAAAGUGCUCUUCUUUACUCAUGUUUUCACAGGGACAGUCACUAGUCUACGAGUGAGAAGGUGCAAAUACCUUAAUGGAAUGGAAGAGUUUUUGGAAACCAAGAAUAUAAAAAAUUAUUACGAGUUAGAAAAAUUGACGCAUUUGUUUUUGUUUGGUGUUUGUACACUGUACAGUUAUGAACAUUAGUACACAAUAUCAACGAUUACAUUAGGUACAUUAAUAGUGUUAAGAACUAUUUAA